GGGAGCGUUCUGUAAGCCUGUGAAGGUGUGCUGUGAGGCAUGCUGGAGGUAUCAGAAGUGCGAAUGCUGACAUAAGUAACGAUAAAGCGGGUGAAAAGCCCGCUCGCCGGAAGACCAAGGGUUCCUGUCCAACGUUAAUCGGGGCAGGGUGAGUCGACCCCUAAGGCGAGGCCGAAAGGCGUAGUCGAUGGGAAACAGGUUAAUAUUCCUGUACUUGGUGUUACUGCGAAGGGGGGACGGAGAAGGCUAUGUUGGCCGGGCGACGGUUGUCCCGGUUUAAGCGUGUAGGCUGGUUUUCCAGGCAAAUCCGGAAAAUCAAGGCUGAGGCGUGAUGACGAGGCACUACGGUGCUGAAGCAACAAAUGCCCUGCUUCCAGGAAAAGCCUCUAAGCAUCAGGUAACAUCAAAUCGUACCCCAAACCGACACAGGUGGUCAGGUAGAGAAUACCAAGGCGCUUGAGAGAACUCGGGUGAAGGAACUAGGCAAAAUGGUGCCGUAACUUCGGGAGAAGGCACGCUGAUAUGUAGGUGAGGUCCCUCGCGGAUGGAGCUGAAAUCAGUCGAAGAUACCAGCUGGCUGCAACUGUUUAUUAAAAACACAGCACUGUGCAAACACGAAAGUGGACGUAUACGGUGUGACGCCU
rnacentral:rRNA from 1 species